GACGGGGCGAGACUUGUGGGUGAGCGAAUCCUCCAUCCAUGCUCCAGCGCUUCUCCUCACGCUCCGCCACACAAUUACCAAGUGUUCUCGUGGACCCUGCCUUGCUGAGGGAGGGAGGCGGCCACAGGAGGCUUGGGAGGAGAGACAGAGGCGAGACACUGCGAGAUAAAGCUGUGGUGUGUUGGGAGAAGCUUGUAGGAGUGUCCCCAAGUGCCCUCUGGUGGGCCAAGAACAAACAGUGUCUCAAGCUGGAUGGUUGAUUGUCUCUGGUCUCUGAAGGAUUUUCCAGUGGCCAGGACGGGUGUCCUGCUGACGUGGCGCCCUCCCACCGGCUUCCCCGAGGGUUCCUGCAGAACCAGCUGUGGCGUGUGCUGCCAGGAGCAGCAACAUGAGUGAACAGCAACAGCAGCAGCAGCAGCAGCAGUCUGCCUCAGGUGUGGGAAGGUCCAGCCAUGGUGGAAAGAAUGACCUGGAGGCAGGCAGCUCCACCCACAGAGGAGAGAGAAAGCUUGGGUGUCAGCUGUGUGAUAAAACCUUUACAUCCAAAGGGUUUAGAAUACACAUCCUGAGGCACAGUGGUGUUAGAAAUUAUGAGUGUCUGGAUUGUGGAAAGAAAUUUACCACAAUGUCUGAACUCACCACACACACCCUGACACACAGUGGUGUUAGAAAUAAUGAGUGUCUAGAAUGUGGAAAGAAAUUCACCAAAAAGUUUGAUUUCACCAGAUACACCCUGACACACAGUGGUGUUAGACAUUAUGAGUGUCUGGAAUGUGGAAAGAAAUUCACUGAUAAGGGUUACCUCACCGCACACACCGUGACACACAGUGGUGUUAGAAAUUAUGAGUGUCUGGAAUGUGGAAAGAAAUUCACCAGAAACUCUGCUCUCACCACACACACCCUGACACACAGUGGUGUUAAAAAUUAUGAAUGUCUGGAAUGUGGAAAGAAAUUUACCACAAAGUCUGGUCUCACCGCACACAUCCUGACACACAGUGGUGUUAAGAAUCAUGAAUGUCUAGAAUGUGGAAAGAAAUUCACCAGAAAGAGUAGCCUCACCAUACACACCCUCAGACACAGUGGUGUUAAAGACUUCGAGUGUGAGGAGUGUGGCAAGAAGUUCUAUAACAUUGGUGCUCGCAACAGCCACGCCUUCAGACACACUGGCUUGAGGGAGUUCAAGUGUGAUGUUUGUGGCAAGUGUUUCAAGACUAAGAGUGAAAUUGCCCAGCAUGUGAAGAUCCACUUUUGAGGUGGUGUGUUGUGUGGACCAGUGGUGGCACACCCACGCCUGUGGGAGUGUGUGGUGGUGGUGGGCGGUGUGUUUCUUUUCCUUUUUUCUCUCCUGUUACCUCCUCCUAACCCUGGCAACUUGAGCAUUAUUCUUUUUUUAAAGAAUCUUUAGCAUUUUUUGCACCAGGGUGUGUUUGUCUGGAUGUAGCAUCACACUAUAAUACAAGAACACUAUGUCCACGGUGUACAAAGAAGACAAAAAAGCAAUAAAGAAAAUCAUCUGCAGCAACGUCACUCCUACCAGCGCAGACACAAGGCUCAACUCUUGUCUUAUAUUACAAGUCACACAAACGCAAGACUGCCAACCUCGUCAUGAAACAGCUGUUUGCCUCCAGUGAGCCCCGUGCAGGAAGUAAACAUCGUGUACCAACACAAAUGCACUGUUGGUGAUUGUAGUCACCUAAAUUCAAGGUGUGAAGGCCGCGGCGGGGUUGGAGUGUCCCACCGCCCAGUGUAAGGCAGACUGUUUCAAGAGGCAAGUUUUGAGUCGAGUCCUGCCGUUCUUCCUCACAAUUAUCAAGUGUUCUCGUGGGUCCUUCCUUGUGCCAGCCUGCUGAGGGAGGGAGAAGGGAGAGAGAUGACCAGAGGAGAGAGAGAGAGAGAGAGCAGAGAGACAAAGGUGUCCAGGCCGGGUGCCUUGCUGGGCUCUGACGUGACUCCCUUUGCCUUCCCCAAGGGUUCCUGCAGUGGAGGGGUGAGGACGGGCAGCAGCAUGAGUGAACAGCAGUCUGCCUCAGCUAUGAGGAGGUUCAGGAUUGCUGGCAAGAAUGACCUGGAGGCAGGCAGCUCCACCCACAGAGGAGAGAGAAGGUUUGUGUGUCAGCAGUGUGAUAAAACUUUUACAUCCAGAGAAGGACUUAGACGACACACCCUGGCACACAGUGGUGUUAAAGAUUAUGAGUGUCUAGAAUGUGGAAAGAAAUUCACUACAAAGUCUCACCUCACUUCACACACCCUGACACACAGUGGUGUUAGAAAUUAUGAGUGUCUGGAAUGUGGAAAGAAAUUCAUCAGAAAAGGUCACCUCACCACACACACCCUGAGGCACAGAGGUGUUAGAAAUUAUGAAUGUGAGGAAUGUGGCAAGAAAUUCACCACAAAGUGUCAUCUCACCAGACACACCGUGACACACAGUGGUGUUAGUAAUUAUGAGUGUGAGGAGUGUGGCAAGAAAUUCUUCACCAUUGGUGCUCUCGACACACAUGCCUUCAGACACACUGGCUUGUGGGAGUUCAAGUGUGAUGUUUGUGGCAAGUGUUUCAAGACUAAGAGUGACAUUGCCCGGCAUGUGAAGAUCCACUUUUGAGGUGUUGUGUUGUGUGGACCGGUGGAGCCACAUCUACGCCUGUGGGAGUGUGUGGUGGUGGUGGUGGUGAGUGGUGUAUUUCUUUCUUCUUUUUCCUCUUGAGUUGCCUCCUCCCGACCUUGGCCUGGCCUUCCAAUCUUUGGUCCUCAGCACAGCCAGGUGAAGCAUGCCUUCAGUGGGAACCGGUCUCCCGAGGGUGUCACCAAGGCUCUCCAUCUCCAGCAGGACGUGGCGGGGGUCAAGAUGGCAGGCAAGCAAGACGUUGGUGUGUGUUGGAUGCCUGCGUGACUCCAUGCUACGCUGGCCUGCCACACCACAGGAUACAUUGAUGAUAGUGUCACCUCAGCACACACUACACUGUUGUCAUGUGUGGCAGUGCCUGUAAGGACACCACACCCCUGUGGUCUGUUAUUGUAAGGAGUGUGUUUGUUGUAUACUGGGAUACAAGGUAGAAGGAAGCAGUGUACACCUAGUUUUGUACUUGUUGUAUUGUGAGGGGUGUGUACUUUGUGUAUUGUGGGUUGUAAGACAAAGUAGUAGUUUACACCUAGCCUUGUGUAUCUUGUGAGGGGUGUGGACUUUCUUGUAUUGAAGUUUACAGGCAGUGUUGUAUGUACUGUGUUUGUGUUGUGAGGUGUAAGGAGAGGCAGACACUUGUAGUGUGUGUGUGUGUGAGAGUGAGUGAGUGAGCCCCAUGAUCAAAUUACUGCCUGGAGUUUCAUUAGGCAACUGGUGUUUGUGUAAUUGUAAAGUAUCUUUUUAUCUCUAUAACCAUUAACCAGUGCUGCUUUAAUGGUGUUUUUGACAUAAUUGGUUUACAUCUUAAUAAUAUUUUUAGCUACAUAUAUUUACAGUCUAAAAUGUCUGUUUCAUUAGACUGAGUACUGUAACAAUGUCAGUGAGGCAUAUCUGAACACUGCUUAACCCCUUCAGUACUGGGACACAUUUUUACCUUGAGUUUUGGAUAUGAUUAGACAAUUUUACUAACAUUAGGAAGAAUCUAUGAAGGCCACAAGAUUAAUAGCGACAGUCUUCUUUAUUUUAAUCCCCCACAUAAGUUUGUGAAGCUGUGUAAAAUCAGCAAAUAGUGAGCAGAAUGAAUAUGGAAAUGUUUUGUGGUACUGAAGGGGUUAAGUGUACCUGUGUGUGAUGACUGAUUCCUUCCAAGGCACCUGUAGAUCUGACUGUACUGAGAUGUGAAGUUGUGACUAAUAUAUUUUUGUUGACCA